ACACUCCUACGGGAGGCAGCAGUGGGGAAUAUUGCACAAUGGGCGCAAGCCUGAUGCAGCGACGCCGCGUGGGGGAUGAAGGCCUUCGGGUUGUAAACUCCUUUCGCUAGGGACGAAGCUUUUUUGUGACGGUACCUAGAUAAGAAGCACCGGCUAACUACGUGCCAGCAGCCGCGGUAAUACGUAGGGUGCGAGCGUUGUCCGGAAUUACUGGGCGUAAAGGGCUCGUAGGUGGUUUGUCGCGUCGUCUGUGAAAUUCUGGGGCUUAACUCCGGGCGUGCAGGCGAUACGGGCAUAACUUGAGUGCUGUAGGGGUAACUGGAAUUCCUGGUGUAGCGGUGAAAUGCGCAGAUAUCAGGAGGAACACCGAUGGCGAAGGCAGGUUACUGGGCAGUUACUGACGCUGAGGAGCGAAAGCAUGGGUAGCGAACAGGAUUAGAUACCCCGGUAGUCCCA
rnacentral:rRNA from 1 species